rnacentral:rRNA from 1 species
UACGUAGGGGGCAAGCGUUGUCCGGAUUUAUUGGGCGUAAAGAGCGUGUAGGCGGCUUUACAGGUCCGUUGUGAAAACUCGAGGCUCAACCUCGAGACGCCGGUGGAAACCGUAAAGCUAGAGUCCGGAAGAGGAGAGUGGAAUUCCUGGUGUAGCGGUGAAAUGCGCAGAUAUCAGGAAGAACACCUAUGGCGAAGGCAGCUCUCUGGGACGGUACUGACGCUGAGACGCGAAAGCGUGGGGAGCGAACGGG